rnacentral:RNase_P_RNA from 1 species
CAAGCAGAUUGGGUAGUCGCGGGCGCGUUCAUUGUUUAUUAUUACAAAGAACACGCCUGAGGAAAGUCCGAACUCCAUAGGGCUGGGUGCUGGAUAACUUCCAGUGGGGGUGACCCUAAGGAAAGUGCCGCAGAAAUUAAACCGCUCUUACGCCUGAUCCUUAUAAGAGGAGCGGGAUCAGGCAUUGAGUAAGGGUAAGGGUGAAACGGUGCGGUAAGAGCGCACCGGCAGCCAGGUGACUGGUUGGCCAGGUAAACCCCAUCCGGAGCAAGACCAAAUAGGAGAGAUAUAGGGUGGCCCGCCUUUCUCUCGGGUACGGUCGCUAGAGGCCCCUGGGUAACCGGGGUCCCAGACAGAUGGCUACCCUCGACAGGAUUCGGCUUACAGAUCUGGUUGUUUG